AAUACUCACCCAGCAAUUAUGCCCGUGCACUGAGACAUGUUUCGGAACAAGUGUCAAACCUUUACCUGGAGCGGCAGUUCAGUUCUCUGGAUCUUUCCUACCUACUAUGCUUAAGCUGGGCACAGGACCUAUAUGGAAGAAGCAGCUCAGGGAAUUGCUGUCUAUAAUGUCUCCUCCCACUGCAAGCAGCUCCAAAGGUGUAUAGAAUCUACAAACAGCAGGUCAAGUCAAAUUUCCAG
rnacentral:lncRNA from 1 species